GUCCUGAUCUGGGCACAAUCCACCGCCAGAGGAGGGAACAACAGGAUGGUACAGCAGGAGAGAGGAGUUUAGAAGGAGUAAGAGACGUGCAGGGAGUGAGGGAGACGUUGAGGACUGGAGGGCUGGAACAGGACAGGAAAAGAAGGAUGGAGGGAGGGAAGGUGAGAGAGAGAGAGAAGUCAAUUAGAACGGGAUAUUCGGUUGGGAGUUGGGCUAGUUCAGGACUAGAAUGCUUGAGGACUAGGAGGAGUUGGGCUAGUUCAGGGCUAGAAUGCUUGAGGACUAGGAGGAGUUGGGCUAGUUCAGGCCUAGAAUGCUUGAGGACUAGGAGGAGUUGGCUGUCUGUGCCAAGUUGUGGACUAGGUUUGGUAGAUAGCUGGAAAACGUUUUGGUAGUGAAAUUCUCUGUGGAAUUGUUAUUUUCAGCUUUCCAAGGACACCUUUUGAUAGUUAAUAUUUAGCUAUUUGAUGUUUAAAACAUUUCCAGGAGGUUCCGGUUGUAAUUGAAUGUGCGUAGGAUACAUUUUUUCAGUAUAUUUGUCUCUACCAAACAGAAAGUUCUUAUAAUCCAAUACCUUUCACUGAAUCAUAUAGUGUUUCCUCUCCAAAUCCCAUCCCCCGGUUUGCUGAACCACGGGGGGCUGGAAGAGGAGCAGGUGUUGGAACAGUUGGCCAGUGAUCUCUCUAGAUCUCGCUAUGUGGUUUAUGAUGUUGGGACAGCAACACAGUGAGACAGUAGCAGGACGUCACACCUCUUUCAGGUGAGAUGAGAGGGAUGUUCUUGAGGAGCUAGAGAGGAGGAGGGGGUAGAGUUGUGAAGUGGUGCUUCUGUCAGGUGAGGUAUGACUUGGAUUCCAGGAGACCAUGUUAUAUUCGGCUGUUGGUUUGGCUUAUAGAUUCUUGCAAGUUUGAAUUCUAUCAAGGUUCUUAGAACUUAAUGCAGAGAAGAGAAGAGGCGUAUUUGAAGCCAGCGUUUUUCAGUGAAAUCUCAUCUGUUUAGAAUAGGGACAACUGCAUGGCCUACUUACUUAGCUCAGCCGGUGCCGGUUCUUCGCCACACACACACACACACACACACAAGUGGAGAUGAUGAGGACGCUGGGAUGCUGACAACAUGGUGAAUCACAGAGAAGGUAAGGGACAAGAGGACGUUUCUGGUCCCUGACAUCAUGGAUCCAAAAUAUCCUCUUCACUAUUAUCUUCACCUUCUUUAUUCCUCUCUCUCUCCACACCCUUGUUUGUCUCUUCUCCCUCCACCCCCCAUUUUCUGCACUCCUCUCUCUCCCGCUCUGCACUUCUAUUUCAUCUCUCCUCUCUGUCUCUGUCUCUCUCUGUCCUGUCCUACCUCUCAUCCUGAAGCAGCACACCAUGCUGUGGCUGGUCAAACGGAACCAAGUCAGGUGUUUCAGUGAGGUUUGGUCCCCUUCAACCAGCUACUGCGUGGUGCAUUCAGUCAGCA